CGGGCCACAGGGCUCUUCUCUAAGCGCACGGUGAGGCUUACUUUCGUAGGGAGGAGAGGGCCUCUACAUCUGAAUACGUGAAAAUUAGGUGGGCGCAACAUUGGAGGAAGGGAUUUCUGGUAGCGGAUUUGGCAACACUGUUGAAUAGCUUGUAAUGUGAGAUGGCAAGACAUUAAGCAGAAUACUUCGAAAAGUAUAUGUAUCCCUUAGGAAGAGCCUCAUUGGAGCAAAUGCCCGAGGACAGAGGUAAACAAAAAAGAAACAUUCACAAAUAAGAUGGAAAGAAGGCAUUCCAUUCAAUGCUGGGAAGCGCUGGAUCACAGGCAGUUACACAGGUCAUUUACUGUCUGAUUCAGCGGAGUCCCUGCUAUGCUAAUGCCAGUUUGCAAAUUGCCAAGAGGGAGACACACUGCACUGCAUUUUCCGGGAGCACGGUGCACUACACCUAGCAGGCCUCUGCAGGGCUGGGACAAAGCCACGAGGAGAACACACUGUAAAUCCCGAAGAUGAAAGGUCCCUGAAGCAAACAACUGAGAUUAUGGAUGGAGAUAAUGUGCCAAGUUCUCUAACAGAUCAGCCACUGAGCUGUGCUGCUGGGGGAGAGGCUGCGUGUGCUGAUAUGGUUAUCCUCCUGUGUGUCCUCUGCACACACAGUCACACUCCUCGUGGUGCUCCAGGGCCACAUCCGUGAGAGAUUUAUGCAAUCCCCUGACACCAAUCUUUGGUCUCAACUGAAGGACCUGAAAAGGAAAAAUGUAAGCUAUCUUUAAAAUCGACCAAUGUCUGUAACGUUCGAUUUCAUGGAUGAGUAAAAUUUCAGAAAAGAAUCUUGGGUCCCUACAGAAACUUACACACUUUGAUUUUUUCCCUAGUGAAGGCAUCAUAUACACAUACUCCCACCCCUUAAAGAAAUCAUAAGCGAUCAUCAUCUUUCCAGAAAGAAAGGAUGUUUCAAUAGUGGCCGCCUGGAAGGAUGCCGCCUCCGAAUACGGAAUGGUCCUUACAUUGAAAGACUUACUGUGUGCUCUAUUUUACUCUUCUGACAAUAUUACAGAGAAUUUCACCUUCAUUAGGUGGUUUGAAACCACUACUGCCCAGCUAGUUUUCUGUUUGUUGGUUUCUUUCCCUCAUUCAUUUUUUCACACAUUUAACAAAUAUUUAUACUUGAAGCUCUACAAGUACUGCAAUCCUGUGAAAGGAAACACGAUCACGUUGCAGCUGAGUCUACUCAAUUACGCCACUCAUUAAUUUCCCUGGCUACGCUUCAAGUCCUCUAUAAACUUGAUGAGAUGGAUUAGAUGUACUUCAUAGACAACAGCCUCCGUCACAGCUAACUUUCUGCAGCUGGACACGACUGUGCUGUGUACGGAGGCUGGCGGUAAUAACAAUGAUGCCUCUAUUAAAUGAACUUAAUUUGCAGUUUGGUUUUUUAAUAAAAAUAUAGCAAAACAGG